UUUAUUAAUUGUAAUAGAAUUACGUUUAUUAUCUACAGUUUACCUUCAUUUUAACGCCUAUAUAUGUUAAGAGGUUAUAAACGAAUGGUUUCCGUACAAGUGUUUUUCAUUUGUAUUAGCAUUUAUUUUAUGUUACCUUUUAGCGCAAAGUACGCCAACAGAAUACUUAAUUCAGUCGAAACAAUUGGAAAAACUUUGUUUGUUGAUGAGAACGGGAUACCUAUACCAUAAGUAAACUUUCCUUAUUAUACCAGUUAUGCUGUAGUUAGUUUUGACAAAUCAGCAUGAUUUAACGAAUGUCUUUGGAACUAUGAAUAAGCUACAAACUUAAAUUUGAAGGCCGGCUUUUAUGCGAGAAAAUUUUGAACCAUGGUUGAAACAGAUAAAUGUAAUAAUUAAAUUGAUAUGAUACAUACCUGCUAUUUUUGAAAUAUAUUGAUAGAAAGAUUGUUUCAAUUAGUAUUACUUCAGGUAGUUUCGGCAUUUUAGGUAUGUAAUUGUGCACUUAAUUUAAAAAUAACUUAGAAAGAAGCUUGAAACGCAUAGGAGCUUUUUAUGUAUGCUGUAUAAUUAAGGUUUGUAUGUUAUGGAGGGAUUUUUAUACAACAAAUUUAUUAUUAGUUGAAUAAA